rnacentral:lncRNA from 1 species
AAAAAAAAAAAUAUGACACAUAUGUAUACAACGACAACAAUUGAACUUCAUGCUUCUGACUUGGGGCAGGUACAUAAAGAAAGUGCAUGUGUCGCUGUUUAACAUGUAUGUGAGCGAACAUCGGACUGUAACAGUAGUGUAACAGCACAACACGAGAAAAAAAUGUAAACUGGACAAAGUGAUGCAUCCGCACUCCACUCAUUAAACCGCUUAUACCCCAAAAAGGACAAAGUUCAGUUUUUCUCCCAAAAGAGGAAAAAUAAUAAAAGUAAAAAUCCCUGACCACAUGGACACCUUCAAUACAUGUACAAACAGCUAGCAGAGUGAUAAAUUCCUAGCAUUCAAACUGUAGGAGGAGUU